rnacentral:rRNA from 1 species
GACGAACGCUGGCGGCGUGCCUAAUACAUGCACGUAGGACGCAGUUGCGAACGGGUGAGUAACGCGUAGGUAACUGCCUCUUAGAGGGGGAUAACUAAUGGAAACGAUAGCCAAUACCGCAUACUAGUAGAUGGACCUGCGUUGUAUUAGCUAGUAGGUAGGGUAAUGGCCUACCUGGGCGACGAUACAUAGCCGACGUUAGAGGGUGAUCGGCCAAAAUGGGACUGAGAGACGGCCCAGAUUCCUACGGGGGGCAGCAGUAGGGAAUCUUCGGAAAUGGGGGGAAACCUGACCGAGCAACGCCGCGUGAGUGAAGAAGGUUUUCGGAUCGUAAAGCUCUGUUGUUAAGGAAGCGGUACUUAACCAGAAAGGGACGGCUAACUACGGGCCAGCAGCCGCGGUAAUAC